CCUACGGGGGGCAGCAGUGGGGAAUAUUGCACAAUGGGGGAAACCCUGAUGCAGCGACGCCGCGUGAGCGAUGAAGUAUUUCGGUAUGUAAAGCUCUAUCAGCAGGGAAGAAAAUGACGGUACCUGACUAAGAAGCCCCGGCUAACUACGUGCCAGCAGCCGCGGGAAUACGUAGGGGGCAAGCGUUAUCCGGAUUUACUGGGUGGAAAGGGAGCGUAGACGGCGGUGCAAGCCAGAUGUGAAAGCCCGGGGCUCAACCCCGGGACUGCAUUUGGAACUGUGCUGCUAGAGUGUCGGAGAGGCAGGCGGAAUUCCUAGUGUAGCGGUGAAAUGCGUAGAUAUUAGGAGGAACACCAGUGGCGAAGGCGGCCUACUGGACGGUGACUGACGCUGAGGCUCGAAAGCGUGGGGAGCAAACAGGAUUAGAUACCCCAGUAGUC
rnacentral:rRNA from 1 species